rnacentral:rRNA from 1 species
AUUGAUUUUAUGCUUGCAUAAAUGAUUUUUGGAUUCGGAGCGAGUGGCGAACUGGUGAGUAACACGUGGGUAACCUGCCCCGAAGCGGGGGAUAACAUUUGGAAACAAGUGCUAAUACCGCAUAAUUAGUUGGAACCGCAUGGUUCCAACUUGAAAGAUGGCUCUGCUAUCACUUUGGGAUGGACCCGCGCCGUAUUAGUUAGUUGGUGAGAUAAAAGCCCACCAAGACGAUGAUACGUAGCCGACCUGAGAGGGUAAUCGGCCACAUUGGGACUGAGACACGGCCCAGACUCCUACGGGAGGCAGCAGUAGGGAAUCUUCCACAAUGGACGAAAGUCUGAUGGAGCAACGCCGCGUGAGUGAUGAAGGUUUUCGGAUCGUAAAACUCUGUCGUUAAAGAAGAACAAGUGUUAGAGUAACUGUUAACACUUUGACGGUAUUUAACCAGAAAGCCACGGCUAACUACGUGCCAGCAGCCGCGGUAAUACGUAGGUGGCAAGCGUUGUCCGGAUUUAUUGGGCGUAAAGCGAGCGCAGGCGGUUUUGUAAGUCUGCUGUGAAAGUCCUCAGCUCAACUGAGGAAGUGCAGUGGAGACUACAAAACUUGAGUACAGAAGAGGAAAGUGGAACUCCAUGUGUAGCGGUGAAAUGCGUAGAUAUAUGGAAGAACACCAGUGGCGAAGGCGGCUUUCUGGUCUGUUACUGACGCUGAGGCUCGAAAGCACGGGUAGCGAACAGGAUUAGAUACCCUGGUAGUCCAUGCCGUAAACGAUGAAUACUAGGUGUUGGAGGGUUUCCGCCCUUCAGUGCCGCAGCUAACGCAUUAAGUAUUCCGCCUGGGGAGUACGACCGCAAGGUUGAAACUCAAAGGAAUUGACGGGGGCCCGCACAAGUGGUGGAGCAUGUGGUUUAAUUCGAUGCUACGCGAAGAACCUUACCAGCUCUUGACAUCUUCUGCCAACCCAAGAGAUUGGGCGUUCCCUUCGGGGACAGAAUGACAGGUGGUGCAUGGUUGUCGUCAGCUCGUGUCGUGAGAUGUUGGGUUAAGUCCCGCAACGAGCGCAACCCUUAUUAUUAGUUGCCAGCAUUUAGUUGGGCACUCUAGUGAGACUGCCGGUGAUAAA